UAAGUCCUGAUGUGUGCGUCGUACACCUAGUUUUGACCGAACAACGAUUUAAAUGGGAGCCCGGAGUUUCUAAAGUGAGUAAAUGCCUCUUAUGCAUAUGGCACGAGGACUUACAAAGCUUUAGAACAGGGCACCCACCUGCUGAGAGCGGGUUCAAAACGAAGGAAACGGCGACGGCACAAUUGGGACUUUU
rfam:Aeribacillus pallidus strain 8m3 NODE_2, whole genome shotgun sequence.